UACGGAGGGGGCUAGCGUUGUUCGGAAUUACUGGGCGUAAAGCGCACGUAGGCGGCUUUGUAAGUUAGAGGUGAAAGCCUGGGGCUCUACCCCAGAAUUGCCUUUGAUACUGCAAGGCUUGAAUCCAGGAGAGGUGAGUGGAAUUCCGAGUGUAGAGGUGAAAUUCGUAGAUAUUCGGAAGAACACCAGUGGCGAAGGCGGCUCACUGGACUGGUAUUGACGCUGAGGUUCGAAAGCGUGGGGAGCAAAC
rnacentral:rRNA from 1 species